rnacentral:rRNA from 1 species
GAUGAACGCUAGCUACAGGCUUAACACAUGCAAGUCGAGGGGCAGCAUGGUCUUAGCUUGCUAAGGCCGAUGGCGACCGGCGCACGGGUGAGUAACACGUAUCCAACCUGCCGUCUACUCUUGGACAGCCUUCUGAAAGGAAGAUUAAUACAAGAUGGCAUCAUGAGUCCGCAUGUUCACAUGAUUAAAGGUAUUCCGGUAGACGAUGGGGAUGCGUUCCAUUAGAUAGUAGGCGGGGUAACGGCCCACCUAGUCUUCGAUGGAUAGGGGUUCUGAGAGGAAGGUCCCCCACAUUGGAACUGAGACACGGUCCAAACUCCUACGGGAGGCAGCAGUGAGGAAUAUUGGUCAAUGGGCGAGAGCCUGAACCAGCCAAGUAGCGUGAAGGAUGACUGCCCUAUGGGUUGUAAACUUCUUUUAUAAAGGAAUAAAGUCGGGUAUGGAUACCCGUUUGCAUGUACUUUAUGAAUAAGGAUCGGCUAACUCCGUGCCAGCAGCCGCGGUAAUACGGAGGAUCCGAGCGUUAUCCGGAUUUAUUGGGUUUAAAGGGAGCGUAGAUGGAUGUUUAAGUCAGUUGUGAAAGUUUGCGGCUCAACCGUAAAAUUGCAGUUGAUACUGGAUAUCUUGAGUGCAGUUGAGGCAGGCGGAAUUCGUGGUGUAGCGGUGAAAUGCUUAGAUAUCACGAAGAACUCCGAUUGCGAAGGCAGCCUGCUAAGCUGCAACUGACAUUGAGGCUCGAAAGUGUGGGUAUCAAACAGGAUUAGAUACCGUGGUAGUCCACACGGUAAACGAUGAAUACUCACUGUUUGCGAUAUACUGCAAGCGGCCAAGCGAAAGCGUUAAGUAUUCCACCUGGGGAGUACGCCGGCAACGGUGAAACUCAAAGGAAUUGACGGGGGCCCGCACAAGCGGAGGAACAUGUGGUUUAAUUCGAUGAUACGCGAGGAACCUUACCCGGGCUUAAAUUGCAGAUGAAUUACGGUGAAAGCCGUAAGCCGCAAGGCAUCUGUGAAGGUGCUGCAUGGUUGUCGUCAGCUCGUGCCGUGAGGUGUCGGCUUAAGUGCCAUAACGAGCGCAACCCUUGUUGUCAGUUACUAACAGGUUCCGCUGAGGACUCUGACAAGACUGCCAUCGUAAGAUGUGAGGAAGGUGGGGAUGACGUCAAAUCAGCACGGCCCUUACGUCCGGGGCUACACACGUGUUACAAUGGGGGGUACAGAGGGCCGCUACCACGCGAGUGGAUGCCAAUCCCCAAAACCUCUCUCAGUUCGGACUGGAGUCUGCAACCCGACUCCACGAAGCUGGAUUCGUUAGUAAUCGCGCAUCAGCCACGGCGCGGUGAAUACGUUCCCGGGCCUUGUACACACCGCCCGUCAAGCCAUGGGAGCCGGGGGUACCUGAAGUGCGUAACCGCGAGGAGCGCCCUAGGGUAAAACUGGUG